rnacentral:rRNA from 1 species
GACGAGGGAUCCUAGCGUUGUUCGGAAUCAUUGGGCGUAAAGCGGAUGUAGGUGGCCUUGUAAGUCAGGUGUGAAAGCCCAGAGCUCAACUCUGGAAGUGCAUUUGAUACUGCGAGGCUUGAGUGUGGAAGAGGUAAGUAGAAUACCUGGUGUAGUGGUGAAAUACGUAGAUAUCAGGUGGAAUACCGGAGGCGAAGGCGGCUUACUGGUCCAACACUGACACUGAGAUCCGAAAGCGUGGGAAUCAAACAGG